rnacentral:rRNA from 1 species
CACGUUAUCUUACAGUCGAGCGGUAGGCCCUUCGGGGUACACGAGCGGCGAACGGGUGAGUAACACGUGAGCAACCUGCCCCUGACUCUGGGAUAAGCGGUGGAAACGCCGUCUAAUACCGGAUACGACCCGCCACCUCAUGGUGGAGGGUGGAAAGUUUUUCGGUCAGGGAUGGGCUCGCGGCCUAUCAGCUUGUUGGUGGGGUAACGGCCUACCAAGGCGAUUACGGGUAGCCGGCCUGAGAGGGCGACCGGCCACACUGGGACUGAGACACGGCCCAGACUCCUGCGGGAGGCAGCAGUGGGGAAUAUUGCGCAAUGGGCGAAAGCCUGACGCAGCGACGCCGCGUGGGGGAUGACGGCCUUCGGGUUGUAAACCUCUUUUACCACCAACGCAGGCUCGAAGUUCUCUUCGGGUUGACGGUAGGUGGGGAAUAAGGACCGGCUAACUACGUGCCAGCAGCCGCGGUAAUACGUAGGGUCCGAGCGUUGUCCGGAAUUAUUGGGCGUAAAGAGCUCGUAGGCGGCGUGUCACGUCUGCUGUGAAAGACCGGGGCUUAACUCCGGUUCUGCAGUGGAUACGGGCAUGCUAGAGGUAGGUAGGGGGAGACUGGAAUUCCUGGUGUAGCGGUGAAAUGCGCAGAUAUCAGGAGGAACACCGGUGGCGAAGGCGGGUCUCUGGGCCUUACCUGACGCUGAGGAGCGAAAGCAUGGGGAGCGAACAGGAUUAGAUACCCUGGUAGUCCAUGCCGUAACGUUGGGCGCUAGGUG